rnacentral:lncRNA from 10 species
CUGCAAUCCUGGCAUUUUGGGAGGCCGAGGUGGGAAGAUCACUUGAGGCCAGGAGUUCAAGACCAGCAUGGCCAACAUAGCAAUGGGUAUCUCUACUAAAUCUCUACUAAAAAUAAGAAAUUUAGCUGGGCAUGGUCGUGCACAACUGUGAUCUCAGCUAAUCGGGAAGCUAAGGUAUAAGAAUCGCUUGAAUCUGGGAGGCAGAGGUUGCAGUGAGCCGAGAUCACACCGCUGCACUCCAACCUGAGUGACAGAGCAAGAUUCUGUCUCAAAAAAAGGAAAGAAAGAAUGAAAGUGAGAAAGAAAGAAAGAACAAAAGAAAGAAAGAAAGAAGGAAAGAAAGAAGGAAAGAAAGAAAGAAAAAGAAAGAAAGGAAGGAAGAAAGAAAGAAAGAAAAGAAAUGAAGUCUGUGUUUUCGAUGGAUGGCUCUGAAAUGCUCCCUCAAAGCCGUGAUUUGGCCACAAGAAAUUGGAUACGUCCAACACUGAAAGUGCUUGGAAGUGGAGUCUUCUUCAGAUGCUUCAAGCAAGAGCCCAGUCCAUUUGACUUUGAUUUUGGUCUUGUGAGACCCUCCACAGAGAAUCCAGUUAAGCCUGCCUGUACUUCUGACCUGUGGAACUGAGAGAUAAGAAGUGGGUUGUUUUAAGUCACUAAGUUCAUGGUGAUUUGUUUUACAGCAAAAGAAGAGUAAUACACAUUGAAACACACCCAUU